AGAGUUUGAUCCUGGCUCAGGACGAACGCUGGCGGCGUGCCUAAUACAUGCAAGUAGAACGCUGAAGGAGGAGCUUGCUUCUCUGGAUGAGUUGCGAACGGGUGAGUAACGCGUAGGUAACCUGCCUGGAAGCGGGGGGUAACUAUUGGAAACGAUAGCUAAUACCGCAUAAGAGUGGAUGUUGCAUGACAUUUGCUUAAAAGGUGCACUUGCAUCACUACCAGAUGGACCUGCGUUGUAUUAGCUAGUUGGUGGGGUAACGGCUCACCAAGGCGACGAUACAUAGCCGACCUGAGAGGGUGAUCGGCCACACUGGGACUGAGACACGGCCCAGACUCCUACGGGAGGCAGCAGUAGGGAAUCUUCGGCAAUGGACGGAAGUCUGACCGAGCAACGCCGCGUGAGUGAAGAAGGUUUUCGGAUCGUAAAGCUCUGUUGUAAGAGAAGAACGAGUGUGAGAGUGGAAAGUUCACACUGUGACGGUAUCUUACCAGAAAGGGACGGCUAACUACGUGCCAGCAGCCGCGGUAAUACGUAGGUCCCGAGCGUUGUCCGGAUUUAUUGGGCGUAAAGCGAGCGCAGGCGGUUAGAUAAGUCUGAAGUUAAAGGCUGUGGCUUAACCAUAGUAGGCUUUGGAAACUGUUUAACUUGAGUGCAAGAGGGGAGAGUGGAAUUCCAUGUGUAGCGGUGAAAUGCGUAGAUAUAUGGAGGAACACCGGUGGCGAAAGCGGCUCUCUGGCUUGUAACUGACGCUGAGGCUCGAAAGCGUGGGGAGAAAACAGGAUUAGAUACCCUGGUAGUCCACGCUGUAAACGAUGAGUGCUAGGUGUUAGACCCUUUCCGGGGUUUAGUGCCGUAGCUAACGCAUUAAGCACUCCGCCUGGGGAGUACGACCGCAAGGUUGAAACUCAAAGGAAUUGACGGGGGCCCGCACAAGCGGUGGAGCAUGUGGUUUAAUUCGAAGCAACGCGAAGAACCUUACCAGGUCUUGACAUCCCUCUGACCGCUCUAGAGAUAGAGCUUUCCUUCGGGACAGAGGUGACAGGUGGUGCAUGGUUGUCGUCAGCUCGUGUCGUGAGAUGUUGGGUUAAGUCACGCAACGAGCGCAACCCCUAUUGUUAGUUGCCAUCAUUUAGUUGGGCACUCUAGCGAGACUGCCGGUAAUAAACCGGAGGAAGGUGGGGAUGACGUCAAAUCAUCAUGCCCCUUAUGACCUGGGCUACACACGUGCUACAAUGGCUGGUACAACGAGUCGCAAGCCGGUGACGGCAAGCUAAUCUCUUAAAGCCAGUCUCAGUUCGGAUUGUAGGCUGCAACUCGCCUACAUGAAGUCGGAAUCGCUAGUAAUCGCGGAUCAGCACGCCGCGGUGAAUACGUUCCCGGGCCUUGUACACACCGCCCGUCACACCACGAGAGUUUGUAACACCCGAAGUCGGUGAGGUAACCGUAAGGAGCCAGCCGCCUAAGGUGGGAUAGAUGAUUGGGGUGAAGUCGUAACAAGGUAGCCGUAUCGGAAGGUGCGGCUGGAUCACCU
rnacentral:rRNA from 1 species